rnacentral:rRNA from 1 species
GCAUAACGCGAAGAACCUUACCAGGUCUUGACAUCCCUCUGACCGAUCCUUAACCGGAUCUUCUCUUCGGAGCAGAGGUGACAGGUGGUGCAUGGUUGUCGUCAGCUCGUGUCGUGAGAUGUUGGGUUAAGUCCCGCAACGAGCGCAACCCUUAUCUUUAGUAGCCAGCAGUUCGGCUGGGCACUCUAGAGAGACUGCCAGGGAUAACCUGGAGGAAGGUGGGGAUGACGUCAAAUCAUCAUGCCCCUUAUGAUCUGGGCUACACACGUGCUACAAUGGUGAUAACAAAGUGAAGCAGCCUCGUGAGAGUGAGCAAAUCACAAAAAAGUCAUCUCAGUUCGGAUUGUAGUCUGCAACUCGACUACAUGAAGCUGGAAUCGCUAGUAAUCGCGAAUCAGAAUGUCGCGGUGAAUACGUUCCCGGGUCUUGUACACACCG